rnacentral:rRNA from 2 species
GACGAACCGUGCGAACGUUAUUCGGAAUCACUGGGCUUAAAGCGCGUGUAGGUGGGGCGGCACGUCGGUCGCUGAAAUCCCCCGGCUUAACCGGGGAACGGGCGCCGAUACGACCGCCCUUGAGGGGCGUAGGGGGGGCUGGAACUUCCGGUGGAGCGGUGAAAUGCGUUGAGAUCGGAAGGAACGCCCGUGGCGAAAGCGAGCCCCUGGACGUCAUCUGACACUGAGACGCGAAAGCCAGGGGAGCGAACGGG